GGAUAGCUAGUGUUCGUAGGC
rnacentral:siRNA from 1 species